rnacentral:rRNA from 1 species
AGAGUUUGAUCCUGGCUCAGAUUGAACGCUGGCGGCAUGCUUUACACAUGCAAGUCGAACGGUAACAGGUCUUCGGAUGCUGACGAGUGGCGAACGGGUGAGUAAUACAUCGGAACGUGCCUAGUAGUGGGGGAUAACUACUCGAAAGAGUAGCUAAUACCGCAUGAGAUCUACGGAUGAAAGCAGGGGACCUUCGGGCCUUGUGCUACUAGAGCGGCUGAUGGCAGAUUAGGUAGUUGGUGGGGUAAGGGCUUACCAAGCCUGCGAUCUGUAGCUGGUCUGAGAGGACGACCAGCCACACUGGGACUGAGACACGGCCCAGACUCCUACGGGAGGCAGCAGUGGGGAAUUUUGGACAAUGGGCGAAAGCCUGAUCCAGCAAUGCCGCGUGCAGGAUGAAGGCCCUCGGGUUGUAAACUGCUUUUGUACGGAACGAAAAGCCUGGGGCUAAUAUCCCCGGGUCAUGACGGUACCGUAAGAAUAAGCACCGGCUAACUACGUGCCAGCAGCCGCGGUAAUACGUAGGGUGCAAGCGUUAAUCGGAAUUACUGGGCGUAAAGCGUGCGCAGGCGGU